rnacentral:rRNA from 1 species
GCCAGCAGCCGCGGUAAUACGGAGGAUGCAAGCGUUAUCCGGAUUCAUUGGGUUUAAAGGGUGCGUAGGCGGAUUGAUAAGUCAGUGGUGAAAUCCUACAGCUUAACUGUAGAACUGCCAUUGAUACUGUCAUGUCUUGAGUUUGGUUAAGGUAGGCGGAAUGUGUAAUGUAGCGGUGAAAUGCUUAGAUAUUACACAGAACACCAAUUGCGUAGGCAGCUUACUGGACCGACACUGACGCUGAGGCACGAAAGCGUGGGGAUCGAACAGGAUUAGAUACCCUGGUAGUCCACGCCGUAAACGAUGAUUACUCGCUGUUGGCGAUACACAGUCAGCGGCUAAGCAAAAGCAAUAAGUAAUCCACCUGGGGAGUACGGCCGCAAGGCUGAAACUCAAAGGAAUUGACGGGGGCCCGCACAAGCGGAGGAACAUGUGGUUUAAUUCGAUGAUACGCGAGGAACCUUACCUGGGCUUAAAUGUAGAGUGCAUGAGGUGGAAACACUUCUUUCCUUCGGGACUCUUUGCAAGGUGCUGCAUGGUUGUCGUCAGCUCGUGCCGUGAGGUGUCGGGUUAAGUCCCAUAACGAGCGCAACCCUUAUCGUUAGUUGCCAGCGGGUAAAGCCGGGGACUCUAGCGAAACUGCCACCGUAAGGUGAGAGGAAGGUGGGGAUGACGUCAAAUCAGCACGGCCCUUAUGUCCAGGGCUACACACGUGUUACAAUGGCCGGCACAGAGGGCAGCUACCUGGUGACAGGAUGCUAAUCUCGAAAACCGGUCUCAGUUCGGAUCGAAGUCUGCAACUCGACUUCGUGAAGCUGGAUUCGCUAGUAAUCGCGCAUCAGCCAUGGCGCGGUGAAUACGUUCCCGGGCCUUGUACACACCGCCCGUCAAGCCAUGGAAGCUGGGGGUGCCUGAAGUCCGUAACCGUAAGGAGCGGCCUAGGGUAAAACUAGUGACUGGGGCUAAGUCGUAACAAGGUAUCC